rnacentral:lncRNA from 1 species
AUUCUCCCAGCUCCAUCGGCUGCCAACCUAGGGCCAUCGUCUGCCUCCAUCACCCCUCCGCCCGCCCGCCUACCCACCCAAUCCCAAACGGGUGCUGGAUCAGGUGCUGAAUCCGGCUGCCUCCUCGGGUACCAGUCACUGUGCAUUGCUGUGUGUCUGCCACCGCUGCCUGGCACUCAUGGGGCCGUGUGUGUGUGUAUGUGUGUGUGCGCGCAUGUACAUGUACGCAUAAGCGUGUGCUGUAUGUGAGCCUCCUGGGCAUGGGUGGGGGUUGGCAUUGCGGUUGCCAAUCUAGUGUACAACCAGAAGGACAGAGGGAUGGAGUGGAAGAAGGAGGGGAGAGGCUUGGGGUCUGGGAGGGGAGAAGAGGGUGCAUGAGUUGCUUCAUGCUGCCUGCUUACAGGCAUUGGCAUUGUAGCUGCCACCCUUGUGCCCACGGAGAUGGGAGGAGGCGAGUGGAGGGCGCAGCGGCAGGAGUCCUGUGCUCUGGGAGGAAGGCUUUGUACAUGGGAGCUGUUGGCAUCACAUCUGUCAGGCCGGUGCCCAGAACUGGGGCAAUGGAGACUGGGGGAUCCAGGAAGCAGGGAGGAGGGGCAGAAUGUGUUUCUGAUGUUGCUGUCCCUCUAGAAGCUCAGCUCUGAAAAAUGGUUGGAGUAUGAGGUGAUUAGUGCUCUUCCAGCUUGAGGAAGUAAAGUGGUGGAGAGAGUAGCCAGGGAAGUGCCAAGAAACAGUCUACGAGCCAGGGAGGAGGGAGUGUGCCACCGUACCCAGGGAGAACUUGUUGGGGCUGGCAAUCUGGCCCUUUGUCAGAGUAUUGAAGGAGACAGCAAGAGGACCAGAUGUGAGGUGGGUGGGUGCUGGCACUGCCCAUGGCACCUGGCACAGGCUCUGGCAUUGUGUGGAACAGGGGAGGUUGACAGUGCCUCUUGCCAAUCUGGUUGAGAGGGCUAUUGUGCCAGGAGUGAGAAGGAAGGAGGUGAAACAUUUCGGGAGGUGGGGUGUUUGGGAGACCAGAUUUUUUUCUGCCAGGUCCUCCUUCCCCUUCCCUCUUAGGCAUGGGGAGUGGAGCAACAGACGGAGAGUGGCAUGAAGACACAAAGGAGGAAGCACACCAUUGCCAAGACCCCAAGGAAGAAGGAUGGAAAGCGCUGGCAGUCCUGCCUGGCCCCCAGCCAGUUCCCUGCUGAAGAUGGCCAGAUCCCCUUGUCUGGUCUGUAUAUGCCACUUUUGCUGGGGUGGAAGGAGGGAAGGGCUGGCUUGCUGAGCUGGGCUCUAGAAUGGGAAGGGUACCUUUCUGCAGAUCCCAUUUGGACUCUCCACUUGAACAAGUGAGGUGUCUGAUUUUCUUCUUCGGUACCUUCCUCUCCUCCCCCUCCCUUCGCCUCACCCCGCUUUCAUCUCUCAUCACCACCUGGGUCCUACUGCUUGGCACCCAACCAACUGGAUGCUGCCACGUUUGGCAGUGCUGCACUGGCACGUGAACAGUGUCUCAGAUCCUGGCACUGCAGCAAACCCAAAGCCACCAAACAUGCUCAUGAUGCCACUUGGCAGCAGUCAGAGAGAGGGGGCUGUGCACAUAGUGGUGGCCAGGCAUUGGGUGGAGCUCUGUGCAGGGAACUGGCAUGAGAGGAUGCCCUUAACAACUGGGCUGAGUCAGCACUCCCUGGUCAAUCUCAGCUCUGCCUUCCUCCCAACUAGAUAUCCACCUCCUUCCUACCCUUAUUGCCCCCACGAAAGGGAUUUAGAUGGUACCAUAUUGAGUGUUUGAGCACCAUGCGAAAGGAAACAAGCACAGAGGGACAGGCUAGAGCACAGGCUGUAGACACACCCAAGGCUCCAGGCUAGUGGACCAUACAUAUCCUUGGACAACAAGAACAACAACAACAACAACAAAACCCUAGGAGAGCAAAAGGAGGUGGAGAGAGGGACACCAGCUGUGUUGUUACCAGGAUGGCACAAGAAGAGAUUGGAAGGGAAGUAGGAAGGAGUGACCCUCAGACCUUGCUCUUGGGUGAUGGGGUGGUUUGUACUUAUGCAUAUUUCAUUCUGCCUUGUGCCUUGUGAUUUGCUGAGCUGUGGUUGAGAUGAACUGGUUCUUUCUCCCUUGUUAAAAGGUCCAUAUUCAAUAAUAGUCCUAGAAAGAUGGAAAGGUGCUCUAGGCCUAGAGAGGUAGACAGGUGUUAGGAAGACAAAGGGACUUGUCCUUCCAGAAAGACUAUGCAAGGCACCCAGUUAGAGUUGGAUAGAUUUCCAUAUCUUUGAAAUCCAUCCCAAGAAGGGAGAUUGAGGAUAAGCAAUGAUCCCUGGUAGAGGGGAAGGCCCCUAGGAGGAGAAUCCCCAGCAUCUGUGGUGAUACAGACUAGCCCUCAGAAAACUAGACCUUGAGCCCCCAUCUGAAAGAAUUUCUAGUAGGUUUGGCUUUCCCAGUGACUGGGCAGAUCUUUAGAAGAUCUGGAAGAUUUGGCUGUGGGUGAUGUGGAGGGGAGGCUGGGUGGCUCUGGGAGAUAGGACCUGCCCAGAGGUAGGAGUAAAGUCCAUGCUGGGCUGAGCUGCUCAGGGCUGGGGAAGUUCUGAUUUCAGCAUCUCUGGAAGUGUAUGGCUACUUCAGAAGAAGCAAGGUGUUUUCCACAGCAGAGGAGAAAGCAGGGAGGCACUCAGCCAAAGUGGUGAGUGGACAAUGUUUCUAUCUUUUCUCCUGUUCAAGAACAGCCAACGUGAGCAGAAGACCAUGGUCAGUUUCCAGUAUGUUGGGGGUGGGAGUCGGGGUGAUGUCAGAGUAAUGAAGUCAACAAAUCUGAGGUUAUGAUAAGCCCUGGUGUGGUAGCCCCUGGGGUAGCAGGGUUGGUCCCUGGGUGCUGAAGAGAUGGGGGCAGGUCACAGAUAUGGUGCUAAGCUCUCUAGGUCAGUGGUUCUCAAACUUCAGAGGGCAUAGAAUCAUUUCAGGAGUUUCUGGUUCAGUUGGUCUUAGGUGUGGUCCAGGAAUAUGCAUUUUACAUAAGCACUCAUGUUCCAAGUGGACACUUGAAACGUUGAAAAACACUGUUCUGAGAGAUGGCAGUCACCUUUAGGAUGGUCGAUCCAAUCAGGGUUUCCCUUGCCUUUUGCAUCUGUCUUCCCCAGACUUACUCAUGUCUUUAUGCUGACAUGUUUGGGAUAUGUUUGUUGUGGGGUGUGUGUAUGCGUUUUGGGUGGGAGCAGUGGGAGGAAAAGGAGAGAUUGUGAGGUUGAAUCCAGCGAAUGUAACUUGUUAGAACAAUGAUCCUCACUGGCAGUAGUUACCACAGAAGAAUCCUUUAGGGAACACUUUGAAAAUUCACUCUUUCUUCACCCACAGAUUCUGAAGGCUGGCUGCCCGUGGGUUUCUGAAACCUCAUCAUUGAGAAUCACUAGGUUAGGAACAUUGUCAAGAGAUUAUUCUCUGUGAUCAAGUCAAAAUUGUGUAGAUUUUGUGGCUAGGUACAAGAUGGGUCCUGGAGGCAGGCCUGGGUCCCGGGUAAUGGAAGUAGGGGUCCACAGAGUACAACUCAGCCUACUGCUGAUACUCAGCAAAUGGCAGAAGAUGCUGUGGUUUGAGCACUUGGUGGGGACAUCUAGAAAUGAGCACAGCAUGGGUCAUUCUUCACAUCCAAUUGAGAAGACUUAGUGCAGGGUUUGGUAUCAGGGAGGACUUGUAGAUAUGGGGCAGUGCUGAGCCCCUGCUGAUUACUGGUUGUGGUGUCUUAGCCAUUGUUUGUGUAAGAAUAUGUGUGCAGUUGGGUGGGAUUAGGAGUCAACCCCGGGUGCUGCAUCACCUUUCCCCCUCUUCUUGGACAGGUUCAGCUUGUUCUGGUCUACCUAUACUCAACCUGCUUCCCCAUUAGCUUCUGGCCAGACUUCUUUCCAUGGCUGCGGAAUUGCAAGAAAUACCAUACUUAGACUACUGCCAGAGAAUAAUGACAUUUACCCCUUGUCUGUGCUUUGUGUGAGGGCUGUCUGGGUUCCAUAUAUGAAGGAGCGUCACUGGGUGGUCACGCAAUUGAAUCACGCAAUUUUAUCUUCUUCCCAUAACAUAUAGUUUCUCUCAAGAGGAAUUACCUUCAUGAUUACUUCCCAUCUUUCCCCAAACUUGAUGGGCCAUGGUCAAGAUCUUCUGCAAAUGUCCUCUCUCAAAUUUGCCUUCAUCUGAUCUUUUUAUAAUGUAUCUGAGCUAUAAUCCUGUAGACCCUGAGGCUGGGUCUACAGACUUGCUGUAGCAAGAGCUUUCUCAGUAUAAAGGCAUUUCUUCCCAACUCAGUCUCCUAGAAAUGACGCUUUCAUGGCUUAUAAGUUUCUGACUGGUUGCUUCUGAGAGAAAUUGUCCCCCAAUACCUGGCCAUUCGCAGAAGUUUACCCUGUUUUUCAUGGUGACAUCAUAUGAGUUUUCCCAAAAGUUUCCUCCUAAUUUGCCUCCUACAUAUCUCUUCCCUGAUGUCCAGAAUAAUUUACGGUCCUCUCCCCAUCGGGUGUGUGUGUGUUUGUUUGUUUGUUUUUUGUGACUGCGAGGAGGGGAGUGGACCCCUCAACCAUGUGCGUGCCCCCACUGCUGCCAUCCCCCUGUCCCCUCUUGACUGCCAGCAACAGCUUGGUAUGGGCCCAAUGCCCAUCCAUUUUCAGGGCUAGUUGAUUUGGCAGGUGAGUUGUUACACACUCCUUAGCAGAUCCUCUCCCCAUAUGUUAAUAUUCAACAUUUGGUCACUCUUCCUCUUACCGGUUACUUUUUCCUCUCACUUUCUCUGUUUAUAAGCUUUUUCUACCUACUUUUGUGUGAGAAAAAUUAGCGUGUGUUGGAGGGUAUUUCUGCUUAUGGGAGUAUAGGUCAUGGGUCUUGGGAUAUGUCCCUUGUACUUAUACAUAUGCCCAUGGGGCCCCAUCCUUGCUGGCACUGGUGUGUUUCCCUGCAGCCCCCUCUGCUGGGGUCUGCUGCUGUUUCUGAGGGUGUGUUUGUUUGUUUCACUGGUGUAGUUAUAUAUAUGGAGCUCUAUAUUUCAGAUUUACAUAUCUUUCCAGGGAUGAAUGACUGUCUUAAAACAGAUCACAGUGGUGGAGAUUUGGAGAAUCAGUGGUCUGGUCUAUAAGCCCUGAGAGUGGUUAAGAAACAAAUACAAAGAAUUAAGCAGAUGGGUGCUAUUAUGCCUGGAAUAAAAGGCUUGCUUGGUUCUUAAGCCUACUUCUAAUGCCCACUGUGCAUUGCUCUCUGGAGCAGGACUGCUGCUGCUAAGGACUUCUGGUGUGAGAAAGGGACUGGGAAGGAAUGCUUCCAGCCACUGGGAACAUGGAAUGGUGCCCCCUCAGGAAGCAUGUUAAUUGACCUAAGUCAGCAGAGUCAGCCCGGCUCUUUUGCCCCCAAAUUCCAGGGUUCCAGGUAAGUACAGUUGCUUAGAGUCAGCUCAUAUCUACUGUUGGGACCGCACGUGGUAUUGCCAGGCCAGGGUGUUAGGUGUAAAAGAACAUGUUGCGUGACAAGAGGAGGGGGGAUUUCUGGUUACAUCAACUCUCGGUGAAAACACUCAUAGUUCAAACUGAAGUUGGCUGAAAUCCUUAAGAUACAGCACACCACACUUCUAAUCAUUCCAUGCCAGGUGUUUGUCGAUGCUUUCUUUAAAACGUUUCCUUUGUCUUGUUUUUGUUCUAAAUUGUUUUUGGUUUCUAACUUUUAUACACAAGUCACAUUCCCAGAAAGCACAAGUGAAGAAUCUUCUUUCCUCAGAUACAUGCUGCUAAGAAAAUAGUUUUAUAUAUAGAAUUUCAACAGGAGAGAGAAAAGGACAGGGAGAGAGGGGUACAAGAGAGGCGGGGAAAGAAGGUGGCAGUGAGCACAAGACCCGGUGGCCAGUUUCUCUCCUGUUGCCUAGAUCUGUGACUGGCAUUUUUGGUAUCAGAAAUUGGGGUGGAAUUACAAAACUAACUCCGCCUAAUUUGCUGUUAGUUAGAAAACUAACUCCACCCCACCCCUAAUUUGUUAGAGUUGGAGUUAUUCAGAAGUGAAUGGGACAGGAAGUGAGACUCAUGGAAUAUAUGGGGGCUACUGACUGAGCUGAAUUUUCUGUCCCCUCCCAUUCUGUCUGCAUGUAAGACACUGCUUCAGUAUUAACAUGUUCACAGAGUGAUGUGACUGAUAGAGCAGAAAACCUAAAUCCCAGGGCUGGCUGAAUUUGUAUGAGAAUAUGAAAUGGAUAAUGAUAGAGCAACAGCCUGGAGGGGAGAGAGGAUGGAAGGAGAACACCUUGAAAGAGAAGUGGUCUUAGGGACAAGAGUAGUAGGAAAAACUACCUGGAGGACGAGGAAUUUUGCAGACUUUUCUUUGCUAAAAGAAAACAUGGACUUCUCUACCCCACACUACUUUAGCUGGGCUUUAGGGUUGCCAGAAUUUUCACCUGAUGGCUACAGAAACCAUUUGCCUAGGGGUACAGAACAUUCUUCUAGGUUCUGUUGGUUCCCUUGGUGAUAACACCCUAUCAAAGAUUGACCUGUGCUUCAGUCAUCUCCUUGCCCACCCCAUCCCCUCAAUUCGUGUCAGCUCUAGAACCCCAUGAGUCUCAUGGACGGGUCCCGACUCCCUUGGGGAUGCCUCCAGCAGCUGCUGCUUAACGGAGAAGCUGGGCUGGGCUGGACUGGAGGGAGCAGGAGCAAGGGCAGAGGACAAGGGGGAAGAAAAGGAGACUGGGGGGAAGGGAACAAGGGACCCAGCAAAGGUGGGCCUCCAGGGGGGCAGCAGGGUUAGGAGUUUGUGAGAAAGGUAAAUGCAAGGAGAAGGCAGGAGAUGAAAGAGAAGCAGAUCUCAGAUUCAGAAGUUAAAUACCCCACUCACCCCCUUCUUCCUGGGACUGCCAAGAUACUUUUGGUGACACUGACUUUUCUAACUCAUAGCUGGAAAUGAGGGGCUAUUACCUGUCCUGAUAAAUACCCAACUCAGGGAGCGGGGACAUGUCCCUCCCCAGAGUUCAGGCUCUUCUCCCUGUAUCGCCAGCUCCCACCUUGGAGGCUGCGCAUAGCAGGGGAGGGCUGCACCGGCAUCGGCCCUUCGAGGACCACCAGACCCAUAGCAAGGAGCUAAAGCUGUUUGGUCUUCCAAAGAUGAGGUGGUUUAAAGAAACCCUUAAACCGGGGGGGUGGGGGUGGGACAGGGAGCAGGGAGUGAC